rnacentral:misc_RNA from 1 species
GAUGAAGAACGUAGUGAAAUGCGAUAAGUAAUGUGAAUUGCAGAAUUCCGUGAAUCAUCGAAUCUUUGAACGCACAUUGCGCCCUCUGGUAUUCCGGGGGGCAUGCCUGUCCGAGCGUCAUUGCAAACCCUCAAGCCCGGCUUGCGUGAUGGGUCGCAUCGUCCCCGAAGGCCCUCCGGGGCGGGUGGGACGGGCCCGAAAGGCAGCGGCGGCGUCGCGGUCAUCCGAUCAGCCCAAGCGUAUGGGGACAUCCGUCACACGCUAGGGGCGCGGACCGACGCCCGCCUGGAACGUCACACUUCUCAAGGUUUGACCUCGGAUCAGGUAGGGAUACCCGCUGAACUUAAGCAUAUCAAUAAGCGGAGGA